UACGUAGGGUGCGAGCGUUAAUCGGAAUUACUGGGCGUAAAGCGUGCGCAGGCUGUUUUGUAAGUCAGAUGUGAAAUCCCCCGAGCUCAACUUGGGAACUGCGUUUGAAACUACAAGACUAGAAUAUGUCAGAGGGGGGUAGAAUUCCACGUGUAGCAGUGAAAUGCGUAGAGAUGUGGAGGAAUACCGAUGGCGAAAGGCAGCCUCCUGGGCCAACACUG
rnacentral:rRNA from 1 species